rnacentral:rRNA from 1 species
GCUGGUGUUUAUGGCAGAAGGGCCACACCCGAUCCCAUGCCGAACUCGGAAGUUAAGCCUUCUUGCGCCGAUGAUACUCUUUUAGGGGAAAGUAGGUCGACGCCGGCA